CGGAGAGAAACAAGUGGACGUGUUGCCAUUAGUUCCCAUGUGACCGGAUGUCACAAACUGCUCAGUUACGCUUUUAUAAUCCAUGAUGCUUCUUUUUAAACCAUAGCCGGUUGUGAGUUGAAAAGUCUUAAAACUAUUUUGUGUUCGGACGGACGGGCGUGAAGUUCCGUUUACUGUUGACGUACGGGCGGAAACGUGACCCAAAAUGUAGGAACGUAUGAAUGGAAACACAAGUGUCCCAGUGUGAGGAACUAACGCCGUCCUGUGUGUGUUCAUCAAACUCAUACAGAUGUUUUCUCAUUGGCUGAUUGUGCGAAUGUCAAGGUUAUGAUGACUCAUUGUCUGACGAAGAAAGAGCUCGAUGAACAGUUCGAGCAGUUCUUGAAAGAGUCUGUUUCAGAUGAGUCCUUGGAUUUUGGUGGCUCACAGCCAGACCCCAAAACCCACCAGAAAACGACCCCCAAAACAGUGCCAUGGUGGGAGAAUGAUGAAGCCAGCAGCUCAACAAAUGGAGUCAAACUCGAGCUCCUCAUCUAUUCCUCCUCAGAUGGAGCUGAUCAGCUGUGUGUACCGAAGGUGAAUGACGACAUGACCCAGUCCGCCUCCUUUGCUUCAGACCACCUUCAUUGACACACUACGAGC
rnacentral:lncRNA from 1 species